UCAGGAAUACAGACAGACGUAGGAAUUGCUUAAAAACAAGAAGUUCUCCCACCCUUGUUGGAGCGAAUGCGCGAGUCUGACAGUGAACCUUUUGGGAAAGAGCCAGCAUUGUAACCGUGCUCGGUGACUUCUCUGGCUUUAUAGGGAACAGAUGUGAGGAUAGCAAGGGGCGCACACGUGAAAUGCCUGGCAGGUACCCCUUUGUGGCUCUACUUACUUCUUGCCAUUCCUCUGCCCUCCAAGUGUAGAGGGGACACCGUGGGCCUUGGCAGUCGCGUUCCGACUCCGGUCUGGUGUAUGGGUUGCACUCGGUCUCUCUGGCUAUUUUGUGUGUUCCGAUCUGACAGCCCACAUGCCUCUGCUGUACGCCUCGGCCACAGGACACAGAGCACUAAGAAGACAGAGAACACAUUAAGUUUUGCAAAAUUAAAUGACUACAUUUACAGUCAUGGAGGAGAGACAUUGCCUCAACUCGGUUUCUUCUGAUGUGUCUUUGAAACAGAGCCCUGCAAAGCUAAUCUGCUCAACCUUCACCUACUGGGUUCAAUGAAUAUGAAAAGCUGCCUUCCUGAAACUUUUCCUUCAAAGAGGGAAUGAUCUCCUGGAAUUCAAGCUUCUACAAGGUGGCUACCUGGUGUUUUCCACUUUUGCCGUCUCCUAAAAAGCAUCAUUCAAGCCUUGCCCUUUCAACCCACUGAACACAUAAACAUGCUUUCUCCUUAACUGAACUUAUGGCCACGAUGAACUUGAACUCUGAGAUUCACAGAGGAGAGUUUGUUUUAACAGCUGCUUUUACAAUGAAGCCCUGGAGUUACUACUCUCAAGACCCCUGGUUCUGAUAGGCCAUCUUUUCACUGUCCUCUGCAUUUUCUAAUGCCCAGCUGUCAAGGAACACCCACUGAAGUUUUCCAAAACAAAGGCACGAAACACAAGAAAGGCAAGAGAAUGCUAAUCACCAGAUGCAUGGGCAUCCUAUGGGGGAACCCCUUACAUGUGGAAUACGGUUUUUCUCCCCAAUUUAUUUUUAUAAAUUUAUUGAUUUCUUUGCUAGUUUGUUAUUAAUUGUUAGAGAUGUCCUGUUGCCUGAGGUUGCCCUGUCCGAUAUGGUAGCCACCAGCGACAGGUAGCUAUUUAGAGUAAUUUAAAAAUUACAUUAAAAAUGCAGUUUCCUUGUCACUUAACCAUGUUUCAAGUGCUCAGUAUUAACCACAUGUGACUAGUGGCUUCCAUAAAGGAAGGCAAAAAUAGAGAACAUUUACAUCGCUGCAGAAAGCUACUAGAUUUUUUUGGCCAAGGCAUAAGCUCUUUCUCAUAAGAGAAAGGGGAUGCAGAUCUUGCUAAGAGUGAUGGAUUUCUGGGUUCAGCCUACAUGAGUCAUCUUCCAUACUACCCCUGGACAUGCUUUCCUUGGCUGCCAAUUUUCUAUUUUAUAAAUUUCAGGAAAGAGAGAUUAUGGUUGUUAAAACCAUUCAUGACAAUGAUCCCACUUUAGAGAAAACAACAGCAACAAGCAAAGAAGAUGGUGUGGAGAUCCGCACAUUCCACAUCUUUUAAUUGGUACCCAUUAAAUAACAAAGGGAAAAAGUACCCUCAGACCACAACUCUCCACCUUGUGUGGAGGCCAAGGACCCAGCAGGGAGAAGGCAGAAGAUUAGGUUCUCCACUCAUCCUGGCUCUCAGACCACUGAACUCACAUUUGGGUUCUAAUGGAAUGGUGAUUGGAAGCAUAUUCUCCAAUAGGAGGUUUUUAAAAGUUCUGUGCCAUCAGCCAGGCAGCAUCUGUCAUUUAAAAUGACUGGCCAGUUGCACGUUUAAAAGCAAAGAUAAAAUUGCUAAUUUAUACUUACUGAAUAAACAUCAGCAGUAUCCAUGAAGGUACCUACCCUAAUAGCAAGUUGUAUUUUUAUUUUUAUGGUGGUGGCGAAGCUGCCAGGAAAACCAAAGCAUCAGUUCUUUAAUUACAUUUGUUUAGUAUUGAUUUAAUACUAAAAUUUCUCUUGCUCCCUUAGAACAAAGAGCUCUAACUUGUACACUGCUGUAUCCUUAGCACCUGGAACAGUCCCUGGCCUACAAUAGGCACUUAGAAAGUAUUUGUUAAAAAUUGAUUUUUUUUUUUUAAAGAAACAACCCAGAGUUUUUUUAUUCUGCCCCAACCCCCAACCCCUGGCAUUAAAAUAAAUCUUCCUCAACUGCCAUCACUAAUCGCCAGGAUUCCCUCCUAGCCAAUUAUGCUUGGACUCAACCUCUACCUCCCACUCCACAUUCCAAAGUUUCUAUUUCUUUCCAUUCCAGAAGGGCAACUCCACAACAGGAGUGAGGGAGAGGACCUGGACUCCUCCUCAGAGUCCAAUAACACUCCUAACCCUGCUCCCCCAACCUGUGGACUUUUUAAAUCCAUGAAAAUAGAACCUGUCAAGCUACCACAAAAUAGCAUCAGAAGGCAGGAUCAGUCUUUCAUAGGCAUACAAUCUCUGUAAAUACUGAAAAAAGAUUAUUAAAAGCCUGCUAAGUUUUGUCUCCAGUGAAAUAGAUGCAGGCAAGUAUUUUGAUUGUUCUGAACACAUUAGAGAUGAGUGCUACACAGAACUAAGGUAAACUUUGUAAAUUCGUAUGUCAUAACACUUUGUUCCACAAAAAACUAUCUUAUUUUUUAUACUCCAUACUGAUACAGCCAAAUAAUGUGGCUCUUAUUUUCUAAAGAUGCCAGCAAUAUGUUUAAACAUGUCUUCAUUGUAGUAAAAGUAUCAUAUUUAUAAAAAAUACAUAUGCAUUUAAUGUGAUAUUCCUUAUAGUCAAAAUCUUGAUAUCAUCCUGUUAAUCUGGCUAAAAAUGUAUCUGUAAAAUGAAAGAGAGGAAUAUUUUGCCAUUCCCUAAACAACAGUUGUUUGAAGCUUUUGUAAUUGCUGGUUAUGGGAAUUUACCAAUAACAGGAAUGAAUUUGGAUUUUCUUUUGCUGGAAUCAAAUGGACAAUGUCAUAAUUAGCUAAAUAAUGUUGAGGCUAAAUGAAGUUUGAGUUUUAGGCACAUCCUUUAUGGAAUAUAAACAGGAACCUAAAAGUUCAUUCUGAACAUAGGUUGUUUCUUUCUGCCAAAACAAGAUUAAUAGUCAGUACCCUAACGACAAGGUCCUAUCACUGAAGUAGAUUAUCGGCUAGUCAAAUGGGUUCCUAACAGCACCUCCCUCAUGGGUUAAAACAAGAGGGUUAAUGUGAUGUGUAUUUGCUUAAUUUGGCUUGUUAUACAGUAAACACACAGCAAACGUUAGCUAUUGUUAUCUUCAUUUCCUUUGGAGAAGUUAUCUUAUUUCUCACCUUAUUAAAAAUAAACCCUAACUCAUACAGGGACCCUCCUUACCUUGGUCCUUUCACCCAUGAAUACCAUAAUAACCUAUACUGCAAAAAGGAGGCUCAGGAGGAGGAUGAGGUAUCAAUAGGCCUCCGGGUCAUUUUUAUGAUUUAGGUAUUUUUUGAAAAGGGUAGGCUCUCUUGAAACUUCCAAGGUAGUUGUUGUAGUAUUUUAUUUUCCUUUCAUAAGAAAUGCUUUCUGAAAUGUAUUGCAGUGAACAAAUAACAAAAUUGACAAAUGCUGUAAGCCUUUUACAGUUAUCUGAACACACAGAAUAAAGUGUAAUCAAAUUUGUGCACAUUAGGUUUGCUUUUUCCUGUACCUAGCUGUCUCUUAUGUGUUCAGAACCAUUUCUUCCAAUCACCUUUUUUUGUCUUCUGGCUAUAAUUUAUCAUUAUCUACAAAUUCAAUAAAUGGAGCAUGC
rnacentral:lncRNA from 1 species